CAGUAGCCGCGGUAAGACAGAGGAUGCAAGCGUUAUCCGGAAUGAUUGGGCGUAAAGCGUCUGUAGGUGGCUUUUCAAGUCCGCCGUCAAAUCCCAGGGCUCAACCCUGGACAGGCGGUGGAAACUACCAAGCUGGAGUACGGUAGGGGCAGAGGGAGUUUCCGGUGGAGCGGUGAAAUGCGUUGAGAUCGGAAGGAACGCCCGUGGCGAAAGCGAGGCCCUGGACCCUUUCUGACGCUGAGACGCGAAAGCCAGGGGAGCGAACGGGAUUAGAUACCCCUGUAGUCCCUGUCUCUUAUAC
rnacentral:rRNA from 1 species